GACGAACGCUGGCGGCGUGCCUAAUACAUGCAAGUUGAGCGCUGAAGGUUGGUACUUGUACCAACUGGAUGAGCAGCGAACGGGUGAGUAACGCGUGGGGAAUCUGCCUUUGAGCGGGGGACAACAUUUGGAAACGAAUGCUAAUACCGCAUAAAAACUUUAAACACAAGUUUUAAGUUUGAAAGAUGCAAUUGCAUCACUCAAAGCUCAUCCCGCGUUGUAUUAGCUAGUUGGUGAGGUAAAGGCUCACCAAGGCGAUGAUACAUAGCCGACCUGAGAGGGUGAUGGGCCACAUUGGGACGGAGACACGGCCCAAACUCCUGCGGGAGGCAGCAGUAGGGAAUCUUCGGCAAGGGACGAAAGGCUGACCGAGACACGCCGCGGGAGGGAAGAAGGGUUUCGGAUCGUAAAACUCGGUUGGUAGAGAAGAACGUUGGUGAGAGUGGAAAGCUCAUCAAGUGACGGUAACUACACAGAAAGGGACGGCUAACUACGUG
rnacentral:rRNA from 1 species